AGUGAACGCUGGCGGUAGGCCUAACACAUGCAAGUCGAACGGCAGCACAGUAAGAGCUUGCUCUUACGGGUGGCGAGUGGCGGACGGGUGAGGAAUACAUCGGAAUCUACUUUUUCGUGGGGGAUAACGUAGGGAAACUUACGCUAAUACCGCAUACGACCUACGGGUGAAAGCAGGGGAUCUUCGGACCUUGCGCGAUUGAAUGAGCCGAUGUCGGAUUAGCUAGUUGGCGGGGUAAAGGCCCACCAAGGCGACGAUCCGUAGCUGGUCUGAGAGGAUGAUCAGCCACACUGGAACUGAGACACGGUCCAGACUCCUACGGGAGGCAGCAGUGAGGAAUAUUGGACAAUGGGCGCAAGCCUGAUCCAGCCAGACCGCGUGGGUGAAGAAGGCCUUCGGGUUGUAAAGCCCUUUUGUUGGGAAAGAAAAGCAGCAGGUUAAUACCCCGCUGUUCUGACGGUACCCAAAGAAUAAGCACCGGCUAACUUCGUG
rnacentral:rRNA from 1 species